rnacentral:rRNA from 1 species
UACGAAGGGGGCUAGCGUUGUUCGGAAUUACUGGGCGUAAAGCGCGCGCAGGCGGUUCUCCAAGUCAGUGGUGAAAGCCCGGAGCUCAACUCCGGAAUUGCCAUUGAAACUGUUGAACUUGAGGAUGAGAGAGGUGAGUGGAAUUCCCAGUGUAGAGGUGAAAUUCGUAGAUAUUGGAAGAACACCGGUGGCGAAGGCGGCUCACUGGCUCAUUACUGACGCUCAGGCGCGAUAGCGUGGGGAUCAAACAGG